AAUUUUGAAUUUACCUUAAAUUUUCACUCAGUGAAUAACUCUGAAAAAGCAUAAGGUUUGGUGUUUGGGAGAGCUGGAUAUUUGUAUGUAUAAUAUCUGAUCUUAUGGUCUUUUUUUAUUUAUUUUUUAUACACACAGUUAAUAAACCAUUACUAAUGGACUAAAUAAGACUAGUUAUGGUUUGUGCAACAUUGCAUGCUACACUGUUACUGUAUACUCUAAUGUAUAGGUAGUGUAGGUAUAGGUAGUGUAGGAAUGCCUUUACAGCAGAAAACGCAGAGUCAGGAGUACAGGAACAAAGCAUGAAACAGAGAAACAGACAGGAUUACGGAUAUCAGAAUAGUCAGGAC